ACGGAAGGCAGCAGUGGGGGAUAUUGCGCAAUGGGGGAAACCCUGACGCAGCAACGCCGCGUGAAGGAUGAAGGUCUUCGGAUUGUAAACUUCUUUUAUUAAGGACGAACAAAUGACGGUACUUAAAGAAUAAGCUCCGGCUAACUACGUGCCAGCAGCCGCGGUAAUACGUAGGGAGCAAGCGUUGUCCGGAUUUACUGGGUGUAAAGGGUGCGUAGGCGGCUUGGUAAGUCAGAUGUGAAAACUAUGGGCUCAACCCAUAGCCUGCAUUUGAAACUGUCGGGCUUGAGUGAAGUAGAGGCAGGCGGAAUUCCCCGUGUAGCGGUGAAAUGCGUAGAGAUGGGGAGGAACACCAGUGGCGAAGGCGGCCUGCUGGGCUUUAACUGACGCUGAGGCACGAAAGCGUGGGUAGCAAACAGGAUUAGAUACCCUGGUA
rnacentral:rRNA from 1 species